UGCCAGCAGCCGCGGUAAAACGUAGGAGGCAAGCGUUAUCCGGAUUCACUGGGCGUAAAGCGCGUGCAGGCGGUUCGGUAAGUUGGGCGUGAAAUCUCCCGGCUUAACUGGGAGAGGUCGUUCAAUACUACCGGACUAGAGAGCAGUAGAGGAAGAUGGAAUUCCCGGUGUAGUGGUGAAAUGCGUAGAUAUCGGGAGGAACACCAGUGGCGAAGGCGAUCUUCUGGACUGCGUCUGACGCUCAUACGCGAAAGCUAGGGUAGUAAACGGGAUUAGAGACCCCGGUAAUCCUAGCUGUAAACGAUGUGAACUUGGCGUCGGUGGCUUAAACACUAUCGGUGCCGAAGCAAACGCGAUAAGUUCACCGCCUGGGGACUACGAUCGCAAGAUUAAAACUUAAAGGAAUUGGCGGGGGAC
rnacentral:rRNA from 1 species